UGCUAUGUACCUUCUGCAAGCAUGCAAGAUCCUCACAAAGCAGCAUAGGUGUAUACCUCUUAUCAGUUGUGAAUUUCUCAUGGGAACAGUCUGAAGAAAGUUUGAAACGGUCGUUACUGUUCCUCUCUACCAACAACUACCAACAGCUUCUGAUUUUUACCAAGAUAUGAUCCAGCUUGGCAUACACAGUGACUUUGUUGUCUUUUAGACUCCACCAUACUGGUUGCUUCUACUUCAUGACUAUUUGUUACCAGUAAAGACUUUGGAUUACUAUUGUAUACCCUGGAUUUGUCAGUCAUCUUUGUAUGAAUACUAUUACCUUCUAUUAUAUAUAUGUAUUACUUGAGAGUAAUUAAGGGUGAAUAGCAAUUACAUUUGUCAUGAGUAGUCUGUAUGGUCACCUGUGACAUCAGUACGCUACCUUUAGCAGAUUUAUACACUGUCUUACUUUAUUCAACCAUUGUUCCUCUUGGUUUCAGAGGUUUUUUUGAUCACUUAUUUCCAGGUUGUUUCCUGUCACCAUCAGUGAUCCCCAUUUUUUUGUUUGUGCGUCAAGAUAAGAGCAAUUUGUACUUCUGUAAUACCUACUAAAAAGUAAUGUUUUCAGUUAUCACACACAGAAUAUACUGUAAUCUCUGAAGUUUUCCAGGGGCAGAUCAAAACCAGAUCAAGACAUAUGCAAUCUAAUCAUAUACUCCAUCUACAAUUCAAACCCAAUGUUCUAUAUAUUUCUCAAAAUUUCAAAUACACUUAUAGAUUGUAGUUAUCCAGUUCUAAAACUAUCUAGCUAAUUAUAAGAGACUAAUUAUGUUCCACGAUUUGUCAGUCCACAUUGAAAAAACUUUUGUUAUUUCCAAUAUUUUGCUAUUAGUAUUCUUGCUGAAAUAAAAAAAUAUGAUCAAAAAGUGAUAAUGAAUGGGUUUUACAUAUCCUAAUACUUCAUUAAAUAAUUCAAGGGUACCUUUAUUGUUAUCUUGAAUAUUGUACUUAGUAUCUGUUUCCAAAGGUUCUGUCAAAUGCAUCUGCUUGUUCUGACCCACAAUAUGAGAACUUAUAAAUCUAUAAACUAUUUUUCAUCUUUAUGGGAUUCAAAUAAAAUCUUGUAUAUUUUGUUAGUCAGUUUGCCAAAAUUAUACACAUGGCAAUAUCGUUCUUUCUUUCAAACUAUCAGUCAAUAUUUCCUUGUGUAUCUGCUGUCAAAAAUCUUUACUAUAGCUUUACAAUAAUGAAUGUCUAUGUAAUUAAAUAUUUUCAACACACAGAGAUAUAGUUAGGAAACAUCCUAUUAUCUGCUUGGCUAAUAAACAUUUCACAUUU